rnacentral:rRNA from 1 species
UACGAAGGGGGCUAGCGUUGUUCGGAUUUACUGGGCGUAAAGCGCGUGUAGGCGGGCUUGCAAGUUGGGGGUGAAAUCCCGAGGCUCAACCUCGGAACUGCCUCCAAAACUGCAAGCCUGGAGCAAGAUAGAGGCAAGUGGAAUUGCGAGUGUAGAGGUGAAAUUCGUAGAUAUUCGCAGGAACACCAGUGGCGAGGGCGACUUGCUGGAUCUUUGCUGACGCUGAGACGCGAAAGCGUGGGGAGCAAACAGG